rnacentral:rRNA from 1 species
ACGAACGCUGGCGGCGUGCCUAAUACAUGCAAGUAGAACGCACAGUUUAUACCGUAGCUUGCUACACCAUAGACUGUGAGUUGCGAACGGGGGAGUAACGCGUAGGUAACCUGCCUGGUAGCGGGGGAUAACUAUUGGAAACGAUAGCUAAUACCGCAUAAUAUUAAUUAUUGCAUGAUAAUUAAUUGAAAGGUGCAAUUGCACCACUACCAGAUGGACCUGCGUUGUAUUAGCUAGUAGGUGAGGGAACGGCUCACCUAGGCGACGAUACAUAGCCGACCUGCGGGGGUGGUCGGCCACACUGGGACUGAGACACGGCCCAGACUCCUACGGGAGGCAGCAGUAGGGAAUCUUCGGCAAUGGACGGAAGUCUGACCGAGCAACGCCGCGUGAGUGAAGAAGGUUUUCGGAUCGUAAAGCUCUGUUGUAAGGGAAGAACGGGUGUGAGAGUGGAAAGUUCACACUGUGACGGUAUCUUACCAGAAAGGGACGGCUAACUACGUG